CUUUCAUCUUGGAGGCUCAUCCGGGAUCCUUCAGGACAAGGAUGGAAAGCGUAAAGCAGGUUACGCCGUGGUGACUGCUGAACAGGUUUUGGAAGCAAAAUCUCUCCCCCAGGAAACCAGUGCUCAGUUAGCAGAGCUUGUGGCCCUGACCCGAGCUCUGGAGUUAAGCAAAGGGCAGCGGAUGGGCCUGAUAAUCUAUGUGAGUCUA